GACAGAGGUGCCAAGCGUUAGGCGGAAUCACUGGGCUUAAAGCGUGUGUAGGCGGAUCGUUAAGUACCUUGUGAAAUCCCACGGCUUAACCGUGGAACUGCUCGGUAUACUGGCGGUCUUGAGCAACCUAGGGGCGAGCGGAACAAAUGGUGGAGCGGUGAAAUGCGUAGAUAUCAUUUGGAACGCCAAUGGUGAAAACAGGUAGCUGGGGAUGUGCUGACGCUGAGACACGAAAGCCAGGGGAGCAAACGGG
rnacentral:rRNA from 1 species